UACGUAGGGGGCGAGCGUUGUCCGGAUUUAUUGGGCGUAAAGAGCUCGUAGGCGGCUCAGAAAGUCGGGUGUGAAACCUCCAGGCUCAACCUGGAGACGCCACUUGAUACUGCUGUGGCUAGAGUCCGGUAGGGGAGCAGGGAAUAUCCGGUGUAGCGGUGAAAUGCGCAGAUAUCGGGAAGAACACCCGUGGCUAAGGCGGCUCUCUAGUACGGUACUGACGCUGAGACGCGAAAGCGUGGGGAGCGAACAGG
rnacentral:rRNA from 1 species